CGGGUAUAACAAGUAAGAUAAAUAUCUCAUGCUUUCAGCGUCAAAUUCACGAGUUCUUUCUUCGGCAGAGCUAGACUCGAUCUUUUCAAAUUUGAUCCGGGGUAGCCAGCCGUGAUCAGUUACAAGUUCUGCUCAUUUUUUUUUCAAUAUGUAGAUGAAUGAUUGAUGGACGAAAUUAAUUUACCUCAAUAAUUGUUCCAAUGCCAGAGGGAAUCAAAAGCAGCAUUGAUGACUGCUCAUUAAGAAGAUACAAGAAUAUCACUGCUUGGCUAAAAGCUCGCCAAACUACAGUGCGUACACUCAGUCCUGCAAGGUUGUUCUUGCCACGCCAGAAAUUCACAUCGUUUUUCAAAGCAAGAAAGUCAAAUAGAAGCUGUAAUACACGAAAAAAUAGGUAUACAUUGGUAUCGGCGAAAAUACCUUUUACUUCAUCUACGUCUUUAUCUGAGAAGCCCAGACUCUUCAGUCCUUGCAUGGCUGCUUCUACAUGCAAUAUCAAUCUCAAUUUCCCAAGUGAUAUUGGGGUAUAAAAGACUGUAACAUUCAUAGUCUCAUUAUCCGGUAAUAUUUUCAUCAAGUCUCUAUGCCGAGUUUGGAGAAAGUCAUAAUUUACGAUUGGUAGAAACAUUCCAUCUCUUGUUAUACUGUGGAUAUAUAGGAAUGAUAUUUUAAUUUAUUUUUUUUAACUAUUGGGAAAGUUCCAUUCUAUGUUUGAUAAGCUCAAUGUAUACCUUAUGUCUCUGGCGAGUUCCAGAGGUAAGCUAUGAGCAGGUAACUUUAUAUUAUCUGUUAUCAUUGUGAAAGUAAUUUGACUUUUCAAGUGUGACACAGGUUUCAUUAAAAGUUCUUUUUUGUUAGCAGAUUCCUCAGUUUUCAGCAAAUUAAAAGCUGCAAUUUCCGGAAUGGUAUACUGAGUCAUUUUUAUUCUAGUAUAAACCGUAGUUGGAUCCUAGAAUAAAGAAGUUUUUGACUCAUUAUUUAAAUGUGUUCUGAUUACUUGAUUCAUUUCGCUCGUGAAUGUAUAAAAAUCUAUCAUUUUUCGACGUAGAGUUGAAAAAAUGACAUUAUAGUUUUGAGGAUUAAUCUUCAACUUGCCUUGAUAAUUUCGUUGUAUGAAUUACUAUGCUUUUCACUGUGUGGUGUGAUUAACAAAUGUAGAUAUAACGUUCCAUUUUUGCGAGUCUUAUGGGGAAUUGGCAACAUUAUCUGGCUGUAAUAUGGAAAAUGCGUAUACAUUUUCAAUAAAGUAAAUAAACGGUCUAGAUAAA